CUUUCCGUUGCUUUAUGAAGACAUUUUAAGUUCAAAUUUACACAGAUUAGUCUUUGGUUUUGUUCUUUCUAUGUGUCUGAGUUUAUUUGGAUUUCUGUUUCAUGUUUUCUUGUCUUUGUCACAUCUCUGCGUCUCCUCAGUCUGUCUCAUUGCCAUGUCUGUUUCUCCCCCGGACCCGGUGUCAAGCCCGUAGUGUCUUUCCUGUUUUAUUUUGAUAGCCUCUCGUCCCUGUUCAGCUUCACUUCCCCCGUCUCACUAUGUUUAUUCAUUCCAGCUGUGUUCCCAGGUGUUUCUACUUUCCCUAAUAACCCUCAUGUAUAUUUAUUCCCUCAGUUCCCCCUUGUCAGGUUGUCUGUUCUUCUUGUCUCACAUCACAGGUGUUCAUGUUCUAUAUCCAUAGUGUUUGGUAUUCGGUUUUCCCUGUUUUGGUUCUACUUAGUUUAGUCUUAGUUUCCUUCUGCCUUUUAUUUUUGUGCUCGCUUCUGGGUCCUCGCCACAAAAUACACCACUUCUAUUUUGCAAUGCACUUUGGUGUUAUUACAGCAUCUCGUGCACCUCCCAGUUUUUUGUAACUUGGAUCAUUUGCAUGAGGAUUCCGUUAUUGUAUAGAGAGUACUACAUCACAUUGAAAAAACGAGGCAAAACAUGAUCACUUUGUUUCUGUUUGGACUUCUUCUAUUCCCUUUCCAGUGCUGAAGCAUUUAUGAGUAGCCUGCAGCCAGUCAAGCACUCCGCACACAGGAUCACAAAAAGUCCAAAACAAAAUGCCUCUGAAUGAAACUGGAUAUCCUUACAGCAAACAAGAUGAAGAAAACCUCUACUAUAGUUGCGAGCCUCAUUAAAUCUUUUUCAACAUGGAGGGUGGCAUCAGUGCAUGUGAAACACGAGCUCUCAGAUUCAUCUGAUUCCAAGGCCGGAGGACGACUACAACAUCCGAAAAUCCACCUUCUGAAGCUUUAACAGCACAUGUUUUAGGGAACAGUUUAUUUAAACAUU